rnacentral:rRNA from 1 species
AUACGGAGGAUGCGAGCGUUAUCCGGAUUUAUUGGGUUUAAAGGGUGCGUAGGCUGUGCGUUAAGUCAGGGGUGAAAUGCCGUCGCCCAACGACGGAGCUGCCCUUGAUACUGGCGUGCUGGAGUACGGAUGCCGUUGGAGGAAUGAGUGGUGUAGCGGUGAAAUGCUUAGAUAUCACUCAGAACACCGAUUGCGAAGGCAUCUGACGAAUCCGUCACUGACGCUGAGGCACGAAAGCGUGGGGAUAGAACAGGAUUAGAUACCCUGGUAUUCCACGCCGUAAACGAUGAUGACUAACCGUCGGCGAUAGACAGCCGGUGGCCAAGCGAAAGCGAUAAGUCAUCCACCUGGGGAGUACGUCGGCAACGAUGAAACUCAAAUGAAUUGACGGGG